rnacentral:rRNA from 1 species
GAUGAACGCUGGCGGCGUGCCUAAUACAUGCAAGUCGAGCGAACGGACGAGAAGCUUGCUUCUCUGAUGUUAGCGGCGGACGGGUGAGUAACACGUGGAUAACCUACCUAUAAGACUGGGAUAACUUCGGGAAACCGGAGCUAAUACCGGAUAAUAUUUUGAACCGCAUGGUUCAAAAGUGAAAGACGGUCUUGCUGUCACUUAUAGAUGGAUCCGCGCUGCAUUAGCUAGUUGGUAAGGUAACGGCUUACCAAGGCAACGAUGCAUAGCCGACCUGAGAGGGUGAUCGGCCACACUGGAACUGAGACACGGUCCAGACUCCUACGGGAGGCAGCAGUAGGGAAUCUUCCGCAAUGGGCGAAAGCCUGACGGAGCAACGCCGCGUGAGUGAUGAAGGUCUUCGGAUCGUAAAACUCUGUUAUUAGGGAAGAACAUAUGUGUAAGUAACUGUGCACAUCUUGACGGUACCUAAUCAGAAAGCCACGGCUAACUACGUGCCAGCAGCCGCGGUAAUACGUAGGUGGCAAGCGUUAUCCGGAAUUAUUGGGCGUAAAGCGCGCGUAGGCGGUUUUUUAAGUCUGAUGUGAAAGCUCACGGCUCAACCGUGGAGGGUCAUUGGAAACUGGAAAACUUGAGUGCAGAAGAGGAAAGUGGAAUUCCAUGUGUAGCGGUGAAAUGCGCAGAGAUAUGGAGGAACACCAGUGGCGAAGGCGACUUUCUGGUCUGUAACUGACGCUGAUGUGCGAAAGCGUGGGGAUCAAACAGGAUUAGAUACCCUGGUAGUCCACGCCGUAAACGAUGAGUGCUAAGUGUUAGGGGGUUUCCGCCCCUUAGUGCUGCAGCUAACGCAUUAAGCACUCCGCCUGGGGAGUACGACCGCAAGGUUGAAACUCAAAGGAAUUGACGGGGACCCGCACAAGCGGUGGAGCAUGUGGUUUAAUUCGAAGCAACGCGAAGAACCUUACCAAAUCUUGACAUCCUUUGACAACUCUAGAGAUAGAGCCUUCCCCUUCGGGGGACAAAGUGACAGGUGGUGCAUGGUUGUCGUCAGCUCGUGUCGUGAGAUGUUGGGUUAAGUCCCGCAACGAGCGCAACCCUUAAGCUUAGUUGCCAUCAUUAAGUUGGGCACUCUAAGUUGACUGCCGGUGACAAACCGGAGGAAGGUGGGGAUGACGUCAAAUCAUCAUGCCCCUUAUGAUUUGGGCUACACACGUGCUACAAUGGACAAUACAAAGGGCAGCGAAACCGCGAGGUCAAGCAAAUCCCAUAAAGUUGUUCUCAGUUCGGAUUGUAGUCUGCAACUCGACUACAUGAAGCUGGAAUCGCUAGUAAUCGUAGAUCAGCAUGCUACGGUGAAUACGUUCACGGGUCU